CCUACGGGAGGCAGCAGUGGGGAAUAUUGGACAAUGGGCGCAAGCCUGAUCCAGCCAUACCGCGUGGGUGAAGAAGGCCUUCGGGUUGUAAAGCCCUUUUGUUGGGAAAGAAAAGCAGUCGGCUAAUACCCGGUUGUUCUGACGGUACCCAAAGAAUAAGCACCGGCUAACUUCGUGCCAGCAGCCGCGGUAAU
rnacentral:rRNA from 1 species